rnacentral:rRNA from 1 species
AUGCUCCCUCUGCACCAGCAGGACCACUCUUUGCAAAACUCACUAAUUCUCAGGUAUGAGCAUACUCUUUCUAAACUUAAUCAGUACUAUAAACAAAGGAAUAAGAAGGGUUGGGUCAAAGAUGGUGACAGAAAUACUAGAUUUUUUCAUCAAGCUGUGCUCAAGAGAAGGAAAAGAAAUACUAUAUGUUCCAUUAAAGAUGAGAAUGAUGUCACCCAUUUUAAACCCAGUCUCAUUGCAAAUACUUUUGUUAAUUAUUUCAGAUUCGUUGGGAGACCUUUUCUUCGUACUCAUCUGCCAGAAAAUGUUGAGGAUCCUACUUAUUCCAUUCCAGACAAGGAUGAGAUUUUGCGGAUUCUAAAGGAUAUGAAGCUGAAUGCCUCACCUGGACCUGAUGGAUUUAUUGUGGAGUUCUAUCUUGCAUGGGAAUGGAUAGGGGAUGAAGUUACUCAAUUGGUGGUUAACUUCUAUAGAACAGGUAUUUUACCACCUCAAAUAAGUGAUACCAAUAUAGCUCCCAUUCCCAAAAAGCUUGUUCCUUAGGUUCAUAUGGAUUAUAGACCC